rnacentral:lncRNA from 1 species
AAAUCUUUCCUCCUGAAGCAUACAAAGAUCUCUAGAUAAGCAGCUUUGAAUGUUAAAAUGAAGUAUUUCUUAUGUGGAAACAGACUGAUAGCUUUGGAGUAGCUCAUCUAACGCUUUGUUUUCCACAUUUGCAAGUGGAAUUCUGAGUCUGAGCAUUGUGUGGACUUCCAUCUGCUCCUAAAAUCUGCCUUGACAAGGUAGCUGGAAUAUUGCCAGGGUAAACAGCCAUGUCCAGGAACUAGGAAGCACUCCACAAGUCUUCUGUGUGCUCAAAAGUUAUCCAUGCGCAUGGGUUUUGCUGUACUGCAGUAUGACCUUAAAGAUCUGUCCUUACUAACACUCACACAAAUCUGACCUGUCUGCAAUAUUGAGUUCAGCCUACUGAUUAAA